GUGUGUGUGUGUGUGUGUGUGUGUGUGUGUGUGGAUUGUAUUACGGUGCAUCUACUGUACAUCUGGAUCGUAUUUCUACCGGUCUUUCAUGUAUACGUGGCCAGUAGUCGUUAUAUGUGACCCACCCAGCAAUCUCUGAGGAGAGGUCAUUCACAGCCACAGCAGCACCUCCCCCCGCCACCCCCCUGUGGAGAGGGUGCAUGUUCCUGGGGUCAUACAUUUCUGAGGACCUCUCCUGCUCAGACAACACCACAUCACCGGCUAAGAAAGCUCAAACCCACCUCUACUUCGGCAAGCUAAUAUCUGCAACACAGAUAUGCUAAAAGUAUGUUGCGGGGGAGUCAUGUUUUGUCACCUGAGUCCAUUUUCAACUUUAAUUUCAAAUUGGCCCUGGCAUGGGUGCGAUCCCAUCAGCAGUGUUAAAGUCCAGCGGCUUCAUCCUUUAAUCAACCAAUCAAUUUGUAUUAGCCCCAUAGACAAAGGCCUCUUUUGCUGAAUCAGUCAAUAAUUUAUUGAGCUUCAGAUAACACAGUUGCUGGAUGUACAAUGUGUGUGUAAUAACUGAGGUUAUUAAAAUGAUUGGGGGUAUUAACUUUGCCAUCAGAACCAUGUCACACCAUGGAGCAGUUUAGCAGCAGUCCCAUCUGCCAGCCUUUUGUGUUACGUCUAAGGGUAUCUCCAAAACAUGGAUCACUGCAGGGGAAUUUUGGGUUGCCAUUGGGUCAUCAGCGGUUCUAACAGUGUAAAGAGUGCAUCCAGAGGGAUACAGGAGCGUAGAGUUUGUGUUACGUGUGUUCAGCUGUUUACCAGACACCUCUAGGCAGGGACAAAGUUCUUUGCGGGAUAUCACAGAUAAGGCUGCAGUAACAUACGGGUUCUGCUAAAAUCUGCAGUGCUUAGCGAAACUGGGCCCUGUUGUAUCAGCCUGUAGCCAGCAAGAGCCUGAUCCUAGCUGAUGCCCAGAAACGUUAUACGGUCAAGGCCGAUGCUGGCAUCGGGGACAGCGCUGGCCAAAAGUCCACUCCGUCCCACCUAGGACAGAGAGAGACCCAAAAAGUGCUGUGUCCAGCUGCACGUAGGUUGCCUGAACUGCAGGGUGGCUGUGCAUUCAGCCAAGUGUCACUGGCAGCCUAUCGAUUAGCAGGGGAGGGAUACUGAGGGGGCAUGUUUGUGUAUCUGGCUUGGAGAUCGCAGAUCGCUCAGUCCAGAUGAAGCGGCGGAAAGCCGACGAGUGAGGACACCGACAAAAAACAACGUGCAGACUAACAGCUGAAACUGGGGCCAAGCACCACAAAACUCACAGCAUACAGCUGGUGAAGACACACACGCUUGUGAAAAUGAGUUGAAACAAGGUCAAUGUCAAUAUUUCAAUAUAUAAUAUGACCCCCUCAGUUUUUUUAGCAGCAUUUGGAUGUGAUUUGGCAUAGGAUCCAAUAAUAAUCCAAUAAUUCUGAGCCGUCUAUGAUGAUGACAGUGCCAUACUUCAAUUAACGCCUGAAUAAGCUUAUCUUUUGUGGUACAGUCCAUUCCACAAAGGUGCCGCUUGCAGACUGACCACAGUUUCUCUAUAGGAUUUAAAUCCAGAGAGUUUCCAGGCCGGUGAAGUGCGUCCGUCCACCCUUUUUGACAUAUGGCACAGGGUCAGAUCAUGCUGAAAGAUGCCUGCCCAGUCAGGAAAUGUAACAAUGAUGAGAUUAAAGAAUAAAGGUUUUAUAUUUCGUUUUUAAUGAAUAAACCACCUUACAAGAAAUGUCUUGCAUGAAGUUAACACAACAAGAUGCUUUUGCAUCAACUCUUGUUCUGCAUUCGAAAUUCACUCCACAUCAGAGUGUAAGCAGGAUGUAAAAGCCAAUCUGGGUAGCAUGACAGUCAGUGAUUACAUAAUUGUCCUGGUCAAAUAUGAAAUGGUACUUGGUUUCUGAGAAAUAUGGCACGGUAUAAGAAAUGCUUCGCCUAAAGUUGACAGGAUGCUUUUGCAACCAGCUGAUGUUCUGUACUUGUAAUUUCCCCCCAUAGCAGGAUGUAAUUAUUAACCUUCAUUAAGUUAGUUUGAGCAGAUUAAUAGCUUUGUAUAUGAACUAACUGAUAACAUAGUAAGAUAUCGAGUAGGCGGACAUUAUAUCUAUCCAUUAUUAGUCAGGAUGUAGCUUGAUUCUGUUUCAUUUAGGUUUUAUAAAUGAAUGAGAUAAAUUGGACUUAAAAAAUCUGUUCUUAACUGUGCUUAAAAACUGUGCUUUUAAAAACUAUGAUCUCUGUAGAACUGCAGUUGUAUGUUAUGUUAGCAUAGCCUAAAUCUUCAUUUUACAUGCAAUUCAUAUAUCAAUGCAUAUAUUCAUAUCAAUAUGUUGGAACUAUGAAAUUCUACACAAACAAAUAAGAGCUCUUGUUACAAUUAUAAAUCAAGAACAAAUUAACUUUUGAAAGCGUUUUCCAACAAUUAAAUUGCAGUGAUUGCGGGUCAGCCAACCGACUCACAUUUUCUCGAUGCAAUCGAUUUUCGAUAGGGGUUCUUCACUGACAUCUAGUGGUCAAAAUGGAACAACACAUUAAGUUACAUUUUUUUGCCCUUGGAUGAUAUUCGCACGCAAAAAUGGACACAAAUAAUGUGUUGGCGCUGGAGCAAGAGCCGCAUUCACCCACAGAUCCAGAAGCUGCAGUAGAUAGUGUUACAAAUACUGGUCAGUAUGUUUCACAGCUGUGCGUACACUAAAGGGCAACAUCGGGCAAUCAAUAUCUCCAGCCUCAUUGAAAGUAUUUGUAUAUUCAGACUGAACAACCCUGAUAACUAGGAGAAUUACUAAAGUCUUGAUCACUUAAUGUAAAUGGAUUACUGUUUGAGUGAUCUUAGUUUAAUCGCACAGAUGAUGAUGACAGCAAUUAUAUUUGGGACUGUACUGACAAGUCUUCUGUGUUUCUUGCUAAAUUAACAACCAAAGUACUUGUGUAUCGAAGUUAUUAAGCAAAACCCACCUUUUGACUUUGUAGAUAAUAAGUUACUGAAUAACAUCCAACCAUCUUUAACCCUUUUCUCCAGAUGAAUGUCACGCUGCAGCCUCUGAGCACCAUCCAGCGCUAAUGUUUAUUUUAUAUUGUUAUUUGUAAUAAUCAGAAGCAAAAUCUAAGCCACGAAAACGUGCUGCCCUUUUAUUGCCUCAAAUCAAGUGCAUCUUUUAAUGAUUGCCUUUGUUCUUUCUACAACGUUAUAUCAUAUCUUAUCACGCUGGCUUCUUAAUCAGGCCUAUCUUCUCGGAGUGAAGGGCACAUUACCUCAAUCAGGUGCUGCUCACCAGAACAUUACACAUUGUAAUAUUUAAUAUGACAUCCUGUACUGGGCGUAAUAUUUAAUAUUACACCCUGUACUGAAUUCCUUUAUUUCGUGUUUUUCUCACUUAGUCGAUAAGACUGUUGCGAGCUGUACUGUUAAUUAUCAAUUCCUAUGAUAAAAUCUAUUUCAAUUAUAUUAAGCAAUUUCAGUUACAAUAUUGAAGUAUUUCAAUUGCAGACUAAUAUAGCUGUGUUAUUAGAAAUGUUGAAGUUAUUAGCAUUAAUGAGAUUUAUUACCCCUUUACGUUUUAACCCAAAAAUGCUUAUUCCAGGAACAUCAAAUCAAUCGUUACUCAGUUACUCAUAAUCAGAAUUUAAUGGAGAUAAUCUUUACUGCUUUCAAAGGGUGUUUCCUUUAUAGUUACAUAAUAAUUAUAAUAUGCUUAUUAUGCUUAUGUCUGUAAAACACCUUUUAUUCAUCAUGCGGAUCGUUUACCAUGAAAAGGCAUAAAAUCCCUAGAAUAUGAAUGAACAAUAAUGACCGUAUUUUAAUAAUAAUACUUUAAAAAAUGGCGUAACAGAGCGUUUGAUAUGGAGGGUAAAGCUCAUUAACGUAAAUACAAGGGUAUAUUUAUUGGGGGGUGAACGAAGCCAAAUACAUGGGGGGUACAUGUUCGUGGUUAUGUGAAAAAAAAAUUAAAAUAGAAUAAAGGUAAAAACACAAAAUUGAAUAAGGAAACUUGGCAUUUUCUUAACUUAAAGUUAAUAGUUAAUGUUCAAAUAUUAUAUUGUGAUAAAUAACUAAUGAAAAUAUAAUGAAAGAACUUGGUCAACAUCUUCUGGAGACGGUCACUGGUAUGAAAUUAAACCAGUACACCACCUGUUCUAAAUAGAAAUUAAAAAGGGUUGUUUAAAAACUGGUUUACAGGAAUUUGUAGAACUUUGCAGUUUCUCCUCAGCUUUUACUCAAACUCAUUUGCAUUUAAGUCGAUGUGAUGCUAAUAGCCCAGUGGUUCGCUUUCCUUACACGUCAAUUGAUGAUGUAGCAGUUAAUAGUGAUUUGUUGCGUCUGCAGAUAUUUGCGCAUCUGAUUAGUUUUUGGGCUCAGUUUACAUUUAUUUGCGAUUCAAAGUUGAGAGACUUUUGUUGACAUUGUUUUAAUUAUUCAGUUCUUGUUCUAUUGGAAUAAAAAUGUAAUGCAUAUAAACUUAUUUCAUCAUACAGUAUAUCCGUUAAUGGAUCUGCGGGUGCGGGCAGGAUUGUACAGAAAUAUUGCGGAAGCGGACGGGAGUGACAGAGACAGACCGCGGGAGCGGAUUAAAAAAACAGUCCCGCGCAGGGCCCGUACAGCGCUAUGUAUAGAAAUAAGAACAUUUUGUGAUUUUUUUUUUAGUGUGACACGUAAAAUGUUACAGGCAAACUAAUAUGUCUUUUUCAGGCUGCGUGAGUUCUUGUUCGUGUCAGUUUCCAUGUUGAUUCUUUGAUUGAGCUGAAUAAACUGAGCAUAUCACAUAAAAUAUUGUUCGGCCGAGAAACGUACAUACAAACAGUAUUAUUUUGAAACGGGUUGUUAAUGUUUAGAUCAAAUUACUUAAGAGCGAAACAAUAACACGAUCACUAUUUACGGCUUCGUUACAUUGUAACUAUAAUAUAACUACGGCCGGGUGGCGGCUUGUUCGUGAUCACUUCCGGGUCGGUACGUCAUUCGCGUUUAUUAUCAGUAAAAAGUAAUUAUUAAAGACUUUCAAAGACAAAUUUCCACAUUCCAAACUAGACUGAAUCUUUGGUUGCGGAUAGACGUCACAGUUUUUGGCAGAAUUUUUAUGAUUAUGGUUGAAAGUCUUAAAAGAAUAAUUUGCCUCAUAAAAUGCCUCAGUUCUACAUAUUCCUCCAAAGAUCAUAUAAGAAUUAUCCAACUUAAUUUUAA